rnacentral:rRNA from 1 species
CCUACGGGAGGCAGCAGUGAGGAAUAUUGGUCAAUGGACGGAAGUCUGAACCAGCCAUGCCGCGUGCAGGCAGACGGCUCUCUGAGUUGUAAACUGCUUUUGUACAAGGGUAAACCUGAAUUGCUGUUUUCCGCUGAAAGUACUGUACGAAUAAGGAUCGGCUAACUUCGUGCCAGCAGACGCGGUAAUACGGAGGAUCCAAGAGUUAUCCGGAUUUAUUGGGUUUAACGGGUGCGUAGGCGGAUUGAUAAGUUAGAGGUGAAAUGUCCGAGCUUAACUCGGGAACUGCCUCUAAUACUGGUGAUCUAGAGAGUAGGUGCGGUAAGCGGAAUGUAUGGUGUAGCAGUGAAAUGCUUAUAGAUCAUACAGAACACCGAUUGCGAAGGCAGCUUACCAAUCUAUAUCUGACGUUGAGGCACGAAAGCGUGGGGAGCAAACAGGAUUAGAUACCCGGGUAGUC